GAUGAACGCUGGCGGCGUGCCUAAUACAUGCAAGUCGAGCGAACGGACGAGAAGCUUGCUGCUCUGAUGUUAGCGGCGGACGGGUGAGUAACACGUGGAUAACCUACCUAUAAGACUGGGAUAACUUCGGGAAACCGGAGCUAAUACCGGAUAAUAUUUUGAACCGCAUGGUUCAACAGUGAAAGACGGUCUUGCUGUCACUUAUAGAUGGAUCCGCGCUGCAUUAGCUGGUUGGUAAGGUAACGGCUUACCAAGGCAACGAUGAAUAGCCGCCCUGGUAGCGUGUAUGGCAACAGAACGACUGAGGCGCGAUCAAGACUCCUACGGGAGGCAGCACUAGGGACUCCGCCGCGAUGGCGCAAAGCGUGACGAAGCAUCGCCGCGUAAUUAUUGAAGCUCCGCUGAACGUAAUACGCGGUUAUUAGCGGAAAACAUAUGUGUAAGUAACUAUGCACAACUUGACGGUACCUGAUCAGACAGCCGCGGCUAACUACGUG
rnacentral:rRNA from 1 species